rnacentral:rRNA from 1 species
ACGGAAGGCAGCAGUGGGGAAUAUUGCACAAUGGGGGAAACCCUGAUGCAGCGACGCCGCGUGAGUGAAGAAGUUAUUCGUAAUGUAAAGCUCUAUCAGCGGGGAAGAAAAUGACGGUACCUGACUAAGAAGCCCCGGCUAACUACGUGCCAGCAGCCGCGGUAAUACGUAGGGGGCAAGCGUUAUCCGGAUUUACUGGGUGUAAAGGGAGCGUAGACGGUCUGGCAAGUCUGAUGUGAAAGGCAGGGGCUCAACUCCUGGACUGCAUUGGAAACUGUCAGUCUUGAGUGUCGGAGAGGUAAGCGGAAUUCCUAGUGUAGCGGUGAAAUGCGUAGAUAUUAGGAGGAACACCAGCGGCGAAGGCGGCUUUCUGGACUGUUACUGACACUGAGGCACGAAAGUGUGGGGAGCAAACAGGAUUAGAUACCCUGGUA